rnacentral:lncRNA from 1 species
GCAUAGCUCACUUUCUUGAGCAACCCUGUGUCCCCGCACCCCGCUCCUCUUCUUUCGGGUUCUAGGCAGCCGUGGGCGCUGCGACCCUUCUCUCACUGUCAGAGGGGCGGGAGCUCUCGGCCUGCGCCGCCUCCGCUGCCUGCUUGGUCGCGGGCUUGCCGGGAAUGGUGACAGCCCGGGCCCCCUCUUGGCCAAAGAAGUCCUCGAAAGCGUUCGGCGCACGGGCUUUGUCCAGCUUUUUAAACCGUAACAAGGACCGGGGCCGGGCGCGGUGGCUCACGCCUGUAAUCCCAGCAUUUUGGGAAGUCGAGGCGGACGGAUUACUUGAGGUCAUGAGUUCGAGACCAGCCUGGCCAACACGAUGGAGUCUUGCUCCCAUGCUGGAGUGCAGUGGCGUGAUCUCGGCUGACUGUAACCUCCGCCUCCCGGGUUCAAGUGAUUCUCCUGCCUCAGCCUCCGGAGUAGCUGGGAUUACAGGUGCCCGGCUAAUUUUUGUAUUUUUAGUAGAGACAGGGUUUCACCAUGUUGGCCAGGCUGGUCCCGAACUCCUGACCUCAGGUCAUCCUCCUGCCUCAGCCUCCCAAAGUGUUGGGAUUACAGGCACGAGCCACUGAACCCGGCCAAAAUUUGAAUUUCAGAGAAACAACAAAUACUUUUUAGUAUAAACAUGUCCCAAAUAUUGCAUGGAAUAUACAAAGUACAUAUUUGUUGUUUCUGUGAAAUUGGAUUUAACUGGACACCCUGUAUUUUUAUUUUCCAAAUUGCAAGUCACUUGUACAUCAUAUCCUUGCACCCCUCUGAACCCUAUGCACCACCUUCCCCACCCCAGCAAAGAUAUCCAGACGCUGUAUGCAGGAAGAACUGAAUUUCAGAGGACACCGUUUGAUCUUCAACACCUGGCAGUUUACAAAACAGGAGUCCCAGCUGAGAACUCAAACUGGUAGAAGGAAGAUUAUUUUUCCUUCUCUAUAGGUGCUUGGAGGUAACGAGGGGAAAGGAGUUGAAAGGAAGGUGACAUUUCAGGUGGGCACCUGGGAUGGAGGCAAGGAAUCACGAAGUGGCGUCUCCUCGGAAGGGGCAGCCUGAUGUCUUUAACCACUGAACUGUGGUUUCCAACUGGAUGCGCUUUGGGUUCAGGGCUAAGACACGCGUAGGCGGUGCAGACAGUUCAAUUCGUGGGCGGCUUUUUCUCUCCCCUGCGCGGUUUUGCAGAACUGAGGAUUCACGUUUGCCACGCAGUCUCUAAAUCCUCCUCCCAGCCCUCGCCGGAUUUCUGCAUCGGAAUUGGAUUGGAUCACACACAAAAGAAGAGCCCAGGAACUCGUUCACCACCUUGCACCUUGCCUGUUAGUUCACGGCAUAAUGGUAACAGAGUCUUCAUUAAUGGAAGCAACGUUACUACCGUGAGCCCGGAUAGCUCAGUCGGUAGAGCAUCAGACUUUUAAUCUGAGGGUCCAGGGUUCAAGUCCCUGUUCGGGCGGUAUCUUUUUUUUCCUCAUUAAAAGAGUAAGAACCAAUUUUAGGAUCUUUUGUUUGUUAACACACUGCAAAAGAAGGGAAUAAAGUCCUGGAUUGUGUAAACUGCGACCCCAAACACUUCUCGGAGGGUAAGCCCUCU